AUGGUGGUGCCUUCCACGACGCCGGCGCGGCAAGAGACGGCGACCAUGCUGCUUCCACCGCCGUCCGCCGGCGGCGGCGCCAUACCGACGGUUGACAUGUCCGCGCCCCGCGGCCGCGGCGCGCUGUCGCGGCAGGUGGCACGUGCGUGCGCGGAGCAGGGCUUCUUCCGUGCCGUCAACCACGGCGUGCCUCCGGCGGGGCCCCCGGCACGGCUGGACGCCGCCACCUCGGCGUUCUUCGCGCUCGCGGCACAUGACAAGCAGCGCGCCGGCCCGCCGAACCCGCUCGGCUACGGCUGCCGCAGCAUCGGCUUCAACGGCGACGUGGGCGAGCUCGAGUACCUCCUCCUCCACGCCAACCCCGCCGCCGUCGCGCACAGGGCCAGCUCCAUCGACACCAACGACCCCUCACGCUUCAGUUCUGUUGUGAAUGAGUAUGUGGAAGCAGUGAAGCAGCUUGCAUGUGACAUCCUGGACCUGUUGGGAGAGGGGCUAGGGCUGGAGGACCCCAGGCUCUUCAGCAAGCUCAUCACAGAAACUGACAGUGACUCCCUCUUGAGGAUCAACCACUACCCUCCAUCAUGCACCGUUCACAAGCUUGACCAUGAUGACCAAUGCAAGCUCAAGGGGGUUGCCAGGACCAAGGCUGGUAGCGGUGGGAAUCCAGCGGCGGGUGGCCGGAUCGGGUUCGGUGAGCACUCCGACCCACAGCUACUUAGCUUGCUCCGAGCAAACGACGUUGAUGGCUUGCAGGUGCUUCUGCCGGACAUCAACGGCAAGGACACGUGGAUUCAGGUGCCAGCAGACUCGUCGGCCUAUUUCAUCAAUGUUGGUGAUCUCCUUCAGGCUCUGACAAAUGGGAGGUUAGUAAGCGUCCGGCACAGAGUAAUUGCAAGUGCCUGCAGGCCAAGGCUGUCUACCAUCUACUUUGCAGCCCCACCACUGCAUGCACGAAUCUCGGCGCUCCCAGAGAUGGUCACAGCCGGCUCACCACCCCGGUACCGGUCAUUCACCUGGGCCGAGUACAAGACAGCAAUGUACUCGCUCCGCCUAAGCCACAGCCGCCUGGACCUCUUCCAUGUUGAUGAUGACGAAAGCGGCAAUGGCAGCAAAGGAAAAUAA
rnacentral:rRNA from 1 species